CUGAAAUAAGGAUUUGCUGAGGGACAGGAUAAACUAAUCACUAGGAGACAAGUUUGUAUUUAAUCCCAGAAAAAUCAAGUCAUACAGUUGCCAUGGAUCAAAUGAGCAGAACAUUAGAGGGGUAUUUGUACAAUUAUAUAAAAUGUAUUAUUUAACUGGCUGUCAGAUGAGUAUUUGAAUAGGGACAGUGCUUUGUUUAGCACAGCUAGUGGCUGCAUGUGUUUGUAGUAAAAUAACUGUAUCGAUAUGAGGGCCAGAGAGCACGAACUGAUGUUUUAUGCCAUUUUGCAUUAAGGUUUUUUUUUUUUUAAACACUCAAAACACUUUUGAAAAAGCCAAAACUGUCAAGGAAAAAAAGUUACUGCUUAAUGGAGUGAGAGAGAGUGUUUUAUAGGAGGAGAUACAUGGUAUCAACUUUGUGAAGUCUUAUUAAAAUAUAUACUAUAUAUAUUUUAUGUAUAUAAAAUAUAUACUAUAUAUAUUUUUUUAUAUUUAAAAAAAAAAAAAAAAGUCUGAUUUCUACCAAAACUGACUGGAAGUUAAACUGCAUUGACGUUUUAAUGAUGUACAAACUGGUGGAGAGAUGGGGUUGGCUGUAGAAAAGUUAAAUAAUUUGAUACAAAUACUGGUAAUUUUGCAUGCAUUACACACCAAUACAGAAAGCCAGGACAGGGUUAAAAAAAAGAGCCAUAAAACGAGCCAUAUUUUAAUACACACUAAAUGAGUAAGUAUAACGAAUUUCAGUGCUAAUUUUAUAGUUCUGUAUAUUAUUCUGACUUGAUAUGUGUGCAAGGACUUAACUGCACCCAUCGUGCACACAAAUGGUUAAAAUGCAUUUUUUCUUCUUCUACAAGUUUGUUAAGAUAUCUAAAUUUUCUUGGAGUCAAUAAAUAAUAUUAAAUUAAUUCAUCCGUCCCUCUACCAAGAAAAAAAUGCACUAACUUCAUUGUAAAAUUAAUGUGCUUUUUAUUUUUAUUUUUAACUUUAAUUUCUUCUUCUUAUUUUUUUUUAUACGCAUUUCCCUUAUGUUUUCUAUACAUUAAGGGGAAAACGGCUGUAAACAAAACACAGGCCAUUGUUUAGAUAACUUUUAAGGAACAAUCCCAUCCGCACCAACUUGUUUUCGUUUCCUGCACCAGAGAUGUACCGGUCACUUUAUUUGGGGUUUAACCCCUUGCACUCUUGUUAAACUGAAACGUAAGUCUGCUCAGAGAAACUUGGCUUUAAAAAGGCACAGACAAAUAAUGAACUCUAAAAAACACAUACAAACAGACGAUCCUUAACAAUUAUGAUAUGAAUAAUUAAUUAGCUGAAAUCCUCCUUUAGAAAGCAUAUGUUUUUACCCAUAAUAACACAGCAUAUACUUUUACAUAAAACAACAGAUUAAACAAAUAUCUUUAUUAUAAAAAUGUUACAAGGCAUUAGUAUCAAACAUAUAAACAAUACUAAACAAAUAAAUGUAACAAAUAUAUUUGUAUGUAUGCACAUAUACAUAAACACACACACACAGUCACUCUCUCUCUAUAUAUGUGCAUUAAAUGUGAGAUAGAUAUAUAUAUAUAUAUAUAUAAAUAUAACAAUGUGCGUGUAUUAAUCGAAAAUCAAUGCAUGCAUUAAGGCUAUGAACUAUGAAUAUUACUCACUGCAAUAUAUUUCCAUUUUAGAACCCCUGUUUUAUUUUACUGCAUUGUAUCGAUUGCUGUGAUGAAAGUGAUCAGAUUGAGAGAGUGACCCACCCCAGUGAGAUGUGGUGCAGCCAGCAGCCCUGUUCCCCAGGAGGUGAGAAGUCAGUGGUUUGUGUCUCCCCAUAGCCUGGAAAUCUGGCUUCUAUCUCAGCAAGGUCUCCUGACUCAAACAUUAUAUUAGCAGAACAAUUCGUUGACAGACAAAUAACAUAAACAAACAAAAAAAAAAAAUCGCAGCUCUUUGGAGUUUCCUCCUUCUCUGAAGUUUUUUUUUUGUGUGUGUGUGGAGGAUUCCCCACAGAUGUGAGGUGUCAAGCCAUGGACUCCUGGCUGCUGUUGCUGCUGCUGUCUCUCCUGCUCUCACGGUUUGGUGGCUGCAUGUCUGUCCUCAGGCAGGGAGGACGAAGAGUGGACUCUGCACUGGUCCCAGCUAAUACAGAGCCCUGUCAUCGAUUCUUCCACGGAAUCCAGAGAAUACUCCCAGCAAAUGCUGUCAGGAGACUGGGAUUAGCUGCCUGGGAGGUAAUAUCCUUACAUUUUCUUAAUUUCCAGAGGAGAAGCAAACACUGGAAACAUGAAGACAGCAGCAGGAGCAGGCAAAUAGUGCACAAGGAAAGACACACACACACACACACACACACACACACACACACACACACACACACACACACACUGUGUAUAUCAAUAUAUAGACAAACACAUAUAGAAACAUAUAUAGACACACACACAGACACAUCCACGCUGUUUGAAUAUAGAUGAAAACAGCAGACAGACACACAAACAUAUCUUCUUUAUCUAUUUUUAUAUUCACAUACUUGUUGCCUAAAGCUCCACGGGUAAAAUGAAAAACGUGUAAUUCUGUGUAGAAUGUUUAUGGAGAGCUGUUCGGGGCAAAGUUCUACAAGUGAAGUAAUCACCAUGGAAACCAAUGUCAAGACCAUGUUUAUGGUACUGCCUUUAGAGCAUUGGCCCAGAAUUACUGUUUAUACAGAACCUUCAUGGUAUGUACCAGAUGUGUGAGUAUAGAUUUUAUUCUAUUUAUCUAUCUAUCUAUCUAUCUAUCUAUCUAUCUAUCUAUCUAUCUAUCUAUCUAUCUAUCU